rnacentral:rRNA from 1 species
UACGGGGGGGGCAAGCGUUGUUCGGAAUUACUGGGCGUAAAGGGCCAGUAGGCGGCCAACUAAGUCCGACGUGAAAUCCCCAGGCUUAACCUGGGAACUGCGUCGGAUACUGGAUGGCUUGAAUUCGGGAGAGGGAUGCAGAAUUCCAGGUGUAGCGGUGAAAUGCGUAGAUAUCUGGAGGAAUACCGGUGGCGAAGGCGGCAUCCUGGACCGACAUUGACGCUGAGGAGCGAAAGCGUGGGGAGCAAACAGG